UGUGGAUAUGCACUCAGAGUAACAUCGCAAACAUAUUAUUCACCUGAGUACACAACACCAACACAGAAAAAUUCAUAUUACUAGAACACAUUGGUAUUGAAGGAACUAGAUACUGUUCCGAAAUAUCGCUUACUCGAACCGUCCUGACCGCGUAGCUCAGUUGGAAGAGCAUUGGGCUGGUAUUCCAAAGGUCGUAGGUUCGAAUCCCACCAUGGCCGGGCAUAUUUUUCAAGCUCGCCCGGUGUGGAUAUACACUCAGAGU
rnacentral:tRNA from 1 species